UAAAGCAAGAAAGGGCGUAUGGGGAAUGCCUAGGCACACUCCGGCGAAGAAGGACGCAGCAAACAGCGAAAUGCGACGGUGAGCGGUAAGCACGUGAAGAGCCGUCGAUAUCCGAAUGGGGGAACCCACACGGAGUCAUAUCCGUGUAUCACAUGUCGAAUACAUAGACAUGAUGAGGCGAGACGCAGGGAACUGAAACAUCUAAGUACCUGCAGGAAGAGAAAAUAAGAAUGAUUUUCUGAGUAGCGGCGAGCGAAAGGGAAAGAGCCCAAACCGAUCUUAGGAUCGGGGUAGUAGGAUCAUCGAGAAAUCUGACAGAGGAUCAUAGAGGAAUCACAUGGGAAGGUGAGCGAGAGAGGGUGAGAGCCCCGUACUCGAAAUGAGAGACUGGAGAGAGAUGACACCUGAGUAGGGCGGGACACGAGAAAUCCUGUCUGAAUCAGCCGGGACCAUCCGGCAAGGCUAAAUACGAGAGAGUGACCGAUAGUGAACCAGUACCGUGAGGGAAAGGUGAAAAGAACCCCGGGAGGGGAGUGAAAGAGAACCUGAAACCAUAUGCCUACAAGAAGUCAGAGCCCGUUAAAGGGUGAUGGCGUGCCUUUUGUAGAAUGAACCGGCGAGUUACUGUAUGGAGCGAGGUUAAGCAGGAUAUGCGGAGCCGAAGCGAAAGCGAGUCUUAAGAGGGCGAGAGUUGCAUGCAGUAGACCCGAAACCGGGUGAUCUAGCCAUGACCAGGUUGAAGUUGGGGUAAAACCCGAUGGAGGACCGAACCGACCCCCGUUGAAACGUUGGCGGAUGAGUUGUGGCUAGGGGUGAAAUUCCAAUCGAACCCGGAGAUAGCUGGUUCUCCCCGAAAUAGCUUUAGGGCUAGCGUCGAGGUAAGUUGCGUGAAGGUAGAGCACUGAAUAUGUGAUGGCCCCAUCUCGGGGUACUGAGCAUAAUCAAACUGCGAAUGUCACGCCAACAUGCUCGGCAGUCAGACAGCGGGUGAUAAGGUCCGUUGUCAAGAGGGAAACAGCCCAGACCAUCAGCUAAGGUCCCAAAAUGUAUGCUAAGUGGAAAAGGAUGUGGAGAUGUACAGACAACUAGGAGGUUGGCUCAGAAGCAGCCAUCCUUUAAAGAGUGCGUAACAGCUCACUAGUCGAAUGACUCUGCGCCGAUAAUUUACCGGGGCUAAGCAUACUACCGAAGCUAUGGAUCCCAAGGGAUGGUAGGGGAGCGUUCCAUGAACGGAGAAGUACGACCGAAAGGACGUGUGGAGAUCAUGGAAGAGAGAAUGCCGGUGUGAGUAGCGGAACGUGGGUGAGAAUCCCACGCACCGAAAACCCAAGGUUUCCAGAGGAAGGUUCGUCCGCUCUGGGUAAGUCGGGACCUAAGGCGAGGCCGAAAGGCGUAGUCGAUGGACAACAGGUAGAGAUUCCUGUACCCGUAUAUAUGUGAAGGAAUGACGGAGAGAGGAAGCUGCAGCCAGCGGCUGGAAGAGCUGGUGCAAGCGAGAUAUCGGGAUGGCAGGCAAAUCCACCAUCCGAAACGAGAAGGCGUGAAGCGUACGGAAAGCUACGGCGAGUACGGAAGGCAGUGGAGGAACUUCCAAGAAAAGUUUCUAACGUUAAGUAUAUAUGGCCCGUACCGAAAAUGGACACACAUGGGUGAGGAGAGAAUCCUAAGGUGAGCGAGAGAACUAUAGCUAAGGAACUCUGCAAAAUGACUCCGUAACUUAGGGAGAAGGAGUGCUCAUAGAGAUAUGAGCCGCAGUGAAACGGCCCAAGCGACUGUUUACCAAAAACACAGCUCUCUGCUAAGCCGCAAGGCGAAGUAUAGGGGGUGACGCCUGCCCGGUGCUGGAAGGUUAAGGGGAGGGGUUAACGCAAGUGAAGCCCUGAACUGAAGCCCCAGUAAACGGCGGCCGUAACUAUAACGGUCCUAAGGUAGCGAAAUUCCUUGUCGGGU
rnacentral:rRNA from 1 species